AUUCCAUGGUGAGGGCAAUAUGUUGUAUAUCCUUUCAACCUUUCCCAUGCUUCAUAGCGAGGUUCAUUUAGACCUUACUUAAAGCUUGUGAUGUUGUUUCUAAUUU
rfam:Arabis alpina cultivar Pajares Aa.chr2_contig_1839, whole genome shotgun sequence.